UACGGAGGGUGCAAGCGUUAUCCGGAUUCACUGGGUUUAAAGGGUGUGUAGGCGGAUUCUUAAGUCAGUGGUGAAAUCUCCGGGCUCAACCCGGAAACUGCCAUUGAUACUAUUAGUCUUGAAUUCUGUUGUGGUAGGCGGAAUAUAUCAUGUAGCGGUGAAAUGCUUAGAUAUGAUAUAGAACACCGAUUGCGAAGGCAGCUUACUAAACAGAUAUUGACGCUGAGGCACGAAAGCGUGGGGAUCAAACAGG
rnacentral:rRNA from 1 species